AGGGUGUAAACGCUGCAGACUUGGUGUUGGGAACCCUUCGGGGGUGCUCAGUGCCGGAGAGAAGUUGUUAAGUCUGCUACUUGGGGAGUACGUCCGCAAGGAUGAAACUUAAAGGAAUUGGCGGGGGAGCACCGCAACGGGAGGAGCGUGCGGUUUAAUUGGAUUCAACGCCGAAAAACUCACCAGCAGCGACUGUUACAUGAAAGUCAGGUUGAUGACCUUACUAGAUUUUCAGAGAGGUGGUGCAUGGCGUCAGUGACU
rnacentral:rRNA from 1 species